GACGAACGCUGGCGGCGUGCCUAAUACAUGCAAGUAGAACGCUGAAGAGAGGAGCUUGCUCUUCUUGGAUGAGUUGCGAACGGGUGAGUAACGCGUAGGUAACCUGCCUUGUAGCGGGGGAUAACUAUUGGAAACGAUAGCUAAUACCGCAUAACAAUGUAUGACACAUGUCUCUUAUUUGAAAGGGGCAUUUGCUCCACUACAAGAUGGACCUGCGUUGUAUUAGCUAGUUGGUGAGGUAAUGGCUCACCUAGGCGACGAUACAUAGCCGACCUGGGAGGGUUGACGGGCACACUGGGACCGGGACCAGGCCCAGGCCUCCACCGGAGGGAGGAGGAGGGAAACUUCGGCAAAGGGGGGAAAGCCGACCGGGGAAAGCCGCGGGGGUGAAGAAGGGUUUUCGGUCGGAAAGACCCGUUGAAAGUGGAGGACGGGUGGGAUAAUGGAAAGUUCACGCUGUGACGGUAGCUUAUCAGAAAGGGACGGCUAACUACGUG
rnacentral:rRNA from 1 species